rnacentral:rRNA from 1 species
AUUGAACGCUGGCGGCAGGCCUAACACAUGCAAGUCGAGCGGAUGAAGGGAGCUUGCUCCUGGAUUCAGCGGCGGACGGGUGAGUAAUGCCUAGGAAUCUGCCUGGUAGUGGGGGAUAACGUCCGGAAACGGGCGCUAAUACUGCAUACGUCCUGAGGGAGAAAGUGGGGGAUCUUCGGACCUCACGCUAUCAGAUGAGCCUAGGUCGGAUUAGCUAGUUGCUGGGGUAAAGGCCUACCAAGGCGACGAUCCGUAACUGGUCUGAGAGGAUGAUCAGUCACACUGGAACUGAGACACGGUCCAGACUCCUACGGGAGGCAGCAGUGGGGAAUAUUGGACAAUGGGCGAAAGCCUGAUCCAGCCAUGCCGCGUGUGUGAAGAAGGUCUUCGGAUUGUAAAGCACUUUAAGUUGGGAGGAAGGGCAGUAAGUUAAUACCUUGCUGUUUUGACGUUACCAACAGAAUAAGCACCGGCUAACUUCGUG